CUCUGAGUGAAAUCUCCCUUAAUUUUAGACAUACUGCUAACUUGAUUGUAAAAGCGAAGUGCUAAAGACAGAGGGUACUUCCAUUCCUCUGGACAGGAGGCUACAGACCAGCACUGCUUUACCCACGUGUAUACACAGAGCCACUCUCCAUACAUAUCAGGCUGUCAUCUGAAUCAGGACCGGGCCAUCUUACUUCUGAGAUGUCAAUGAGGAUACGCUGAAUUGAGAGGCAAAAAGAGAUGAUAAUAUAAUAACUCAAGUGAUCAAGUUUCAACUGCCAGAACAAAAAAAGUAACUUUCCAUAGAUAAUACUUUCUCCGUUUACCCGUAUUUUCUACCAAUAAAUCUCUCACGUGUAG